UACGUAGGUGGCAAGCGUUGUCCGGAAUUAUUGGGCGUAAAGCGCGCGCAGGCGGCCUCUUAAGUCUGAUGUGAAAGCCCCCGGCUCAACCGGGGAGGGCCAUUGGAAACUGGGAGGCUUGAGUAUAGGAGAGAAGAGUGGAAUUCCACGUGGUAGCGGUGAAAUGCGUAGAGAUGUGGAGGAACACCAGUGGCGAAGGCGACUCUUUGGCCUAUAACUGACCGCUGAGGCGCGAAAGCGUGGGGAGCAAAC
rnacentral:rRNA from 1 species